rnacentral:rRNA from 1 species
AUUAAGCCAUGCAUGUCUAAGUACAAGCUUUUACCCAGUGAAACCGCGAAUGGCUCAUUAAAUCAGUUAUGGUUCCUUAGAUCGUACAAUCCUACUUGGAUAACUGUGGCAAUUCUAGAGCUAAUACAUGCAAGAAAGCUCCGACCUUCGGGGAAGAGCGCUUUUAUUAGAUCAAAACCAAUCGCCCGCAAGGGUGUCCCAUUGGUGACUCUGGAUAACUUUGGGCUGAUCGCAGGGCCUUGUGCCAGCGACGUAUCUUUCAAAUGUCUGCCCUAUCAACUUUCGUAGGUAGGUGCUAUGCCUACCUAGGUUUUUACGGGUAGCGGGGAAUCAGGGUUCGAUUCCGGAGAGGGAGCAUGCGAAACGGCUACCACAUCCAAGGAAG